UUCCAUUCUGUUGAAGAAUUUAGCACUCUUAAUUUAUGUUUUGUAGGUGCAUAGGAAAAUGCAUGUUUUUUAGCUCUGGGUGAUGUGAUUUCCAUGUGGACAAAUGUGGCAUCAAAUAUGACACUUCCUGAGCUGUUGACUCAUUGGUCAGAGCUUGUUUUUCAAUGAUAGUAGCGGCAUCAGUUCUAUGGUAAAACUUUUAGGCAAUAGCGCCUAAAGUGAUAAUAAACCUUAAAAAAUUGUAUCAAAAUACAAACUUUUAGAUGCCUAAUGUAGCCCGCAAACUAUCUGACAAGCCUGGCACAAACAGUGGAAACUGUUGAUGCAUGCCAAUAAACCCAUGAUCAUGUCCAUUUACCAAAUUUUUUACCAGUGUUAUUGGGUUAAUCUUUUGUAUUCAGUGUUAUAUGUGCAAACUGUCUAGUUUAGCUGAACAUCCAUGAAGCCAAUAUGCAGAAUUCUCCCUUCUAAUCCUAUUUCCAAAGAACUAAAGAUGGUAGUUUUAACUAGCAUUGCUAAACAUCCAUGGCAGUAGUCAGAUAGUGUAAUAUGAUAAUACAGAAUGAUACUACUACAUAUAUCUCUAUGUUCUUUAUUGUGGUGAACAUGGCUGAAGUAAUCUUUUAGUAGAGCCUGUAAACUUGGCCACAGGAGUUUGCUACCAUUUAAUUAGUAGGUUUUCUGUCAGGUAAGCUGGUAAAGCCCAGAUACCUUCAGCCAGCCUUAAUUAUGGUGCCUGGCUAAAGAACAGUAUCUCUGGCUCCCCAAGGUCCCCAGAUAGUGCAUCUAGGCCUAAUCAAAAAGGGUUUUGCCAGAGAUGCAGGAGGGCCUUUUGGUUGCUAUGGCUGUGCACUCAAGACUCUCAGCUUCCUUUCAUUCUGCAGUGAGCUAGUGCCUUAGAUUGAUUAACCCAAUGCCAGUGGGAUGGUAUGUAUAUAUGUGCCAUGCCCAUUGUGAGUUUAGUGUAUUAAUUGUCUUUACACAUAGAUGGGUCCAGUAGUAUGGAGUUUUUAAGGAGUCAAUUACUAGUACUACAUAUCUCAGCUGUUUAUUCUUUUCCUUGAUUUUUGGAAAUAUUCUGUUUCAACAUAUAUUACUAAUAGUAAUGUUAAUGACAUUAUGAUAAUAGUAUUCUUAAUGAUAUUUAUAGCAUUAGAAAAAGAGAAAAAAAUCUCUAAAACUCAAGGAAAGAGUAAAUCAGGUAAGGUCCUAAGGUCUACUAAUGAACUCCUUGGUGGUUGAGCACAUGAGGGGUCAUCUAUGUUUAAACAAUGCACAAAGCAAAACUAAAGCAAACAUUACAUUUUCCCAGUGUCAGUUCUAAUGGCCUUGAAGUUUGAAGGAAAGAGCGAAAUAGCUCUCUGUGACUGGCCAAGUAUAUGAAAGUCGGGUACCCUUCCCCUCUUUAGAUGUCCAAGAUGGUGAAGGUAGCCAAAGGCAAGGUCACUAUGCUGGAAUCCUGUGUUUGCCUGGCUGACAGAAAUCCCCUCAGAACCAGAGAAAACAUGAAGAUGAAACAGGUCACAGCAGAUGUUGAAGAGGUCUUGGGACUAGGUGAACCUGUUGAAGAGGUACCUUGUAAUCCCAGGAAUGUUCCAUAUUGGCCCGAUGAAUCCUACAGUUGCAGUAAUUGUUGCAAUUUCACACACAAAGUCAUAUGCCAAAUGCUAUAUCAAAUGAAGGCAUGUUCAAGACAUAAGUUUCAUAGACAUAGGAACAACACUUUUAGUCAGUGAUACACAAAGAUUCAAAACUGCAAAGGGUAUGAGAGAUACUGAAGAUAUCAAAGAAAUGGAAGUCCAAGACAAAGACUCAGGGAAUGACCAUGUCAAGGGAUGAUUGGCAUUGGGUAACAGGAUUUAGAUGUUGUCAUUUGGAACCUGUACUUGACUUCAUGACUUUUUUCAUGAUUUCAUCACUGAUGGGUAUGUAAUGAAAAAUUAUGUUUAUAAAUGAUGGAAAUGAUAGGCACAUCUGAUGCAUAUUCUUCUGUUUUGCAAGAAAUAAGCAUUUGUUAAGAACUUGUAAAUAAUCAUAUUUAUGUAAACAGUGAUUUUUUUCUUUGCUAUAAUGCCUUAUUGUUACAUCAACUAUAUAUCAUCAUCUAAGUAGUAUCCUCCUGGUGUGCAUGAAAUGAACAUGUGUUUAGAAUGCUAACAUAAUCAUGUUUAUGAAAACAGUGAUUUGCCCCUUCUUUUUGAAGUUAUACUGCAUAAGUCUUACAUCAAAUAUAUACCAUCAUCCAUA